UUCAGGGGCGUGUCUAAUGGCGUCACCAAACUCCGGUAUGUUCUGGACGCUCUAUUUCUUCUCUCAGCUGAUUGUGACGUAAUGUGCACAACACCGAAGCUAACUGGGCCGUAGAACCGCAAGUUCUGACACACGUGGAGUGUCGAGCACAAAAGGGGAAGGCUCGGCAACGGUGGAACGACACAUCGGGAAAGAGACUGUUCUAGAAACACGGCUAUCUCCGUCAACAACCGCCUUGUCUUUUGUCAGGUUCGGAAGGAGGGCUGUGGAGAGGAGUGACGGGAGGCGACAUGGUGGAUUACUACAACACGUUGGGAGUAUCCAAAACAGCCUCUCAGGAUGACAUCAAGAAGGCCUACAGGAAACUGGCACUAAAAUGGCAUCCUGACAAAAAUCCAGACAACAAAGAGGAAGCAGAGAAGAAGUUUAAAGAAGUUGCAGAGGCCUAUGAAAUUCUCUCUGACCAGGGUAAGCGGGACGCCUAUGACAGAUAUGGAAGUGAUGGAAUAAGACGCUCAGGCUCUUCCAACUCAGACCUCUCUUCAGAUUUCCCAGGAUUCACCUUCACAUUCCGUAGUCCAGAUGAGGUUUUCAAGGAGUUUUUUGGUGGCCAGGAUCCCUUCUCUAGCUUCUUUGAUGACUUCUCAUCAUUUGGGGGUUCGUCUUCCCGCCUCGGGCCGAGCCGUUUUUUCUCUUUCCCUUCAGCUGGAGCUGAAUUUACAUCUUUUUCAUCACUGGGUGGUUUUCAUGAUAUGGGCAGUAUGGGGGGAGGCAAUUUCAAAUCUGUGUCUACUUCCACCCGUGUCAUAAAUGGCAAACGCACAACUACCAAGAAAAUUAAAGAGAACGGGCAGGAAAGAACGGAGAUUGAGGAAGAUGGUGUGUUAAAGACUGUGCUAAUUAAUGGCGUACAGGAUGAAAUGGCUCUCGCGCUGGAGCUGAGUCGACGAGAGGACCAGCCCCAUCAACCACCUCAGAAUCCCUCAAUCCUAAACAGAUCACGUCAUGAAACUGGGAGAACCAGGUCCAGCCCGUAUAAUGCAGGCACAAAUCGCUCAUUCAGCGCCGCCCCUUUUUACCACUAUGGGGGGGUUACUGGGAGCGAGCAAGACGAGGACGAUGAAGAUCUGCAGAUGGCGUUGGCGUGCAGCUUGUCAGAAAUGGAAGCCCAGCAGAAAGCAGCUGCUCCCGACUUAAUAUCAGGUGCCGGGGGUGGGAUCACAGCUGUGAUUGACAGAAGUGACUCUGACUUUGAGGCCUUCACCAGCUAAUCCGAUUGCCUCAAGCUGUGCUGUGACCACGACCCUACCUUUCGGUAAAGUGCGCAAGUCAAAGUUCAAUAUCACCUGAUGCACUUGUCUCUCUGCCCAACAUAGCUUCUACGUGAUGAACGACUUACACUGCUUUUGUAUGUGUGAAUGCGAAUGAGCAUAUCCCAGACUGGAUGGAACUGACUGGAAAAUGUCUCUUGUGAUCUUUGAAUGAAUACAUUUUGUUUGUGCUGAGUUGUAACUAAUUUUUAGAAGAAGAAUAGUGGUAAAGGGUAAAAUGGUCACCAAGAGAACAUUUAUCCCAUCAAACUGAAAUGUAUAUGUAAGGCAGAAACAUAGUUUUACCAUAUAAGCUAUUGUGUAAAGCAAGGAAAUAAAGCGCUUCUUUCA